rnacentral:lncRNA from 1 species
GCUUUAAAAGGUAUAAGAAUAUUAUUUCUUCUUCACUAGGAACAUAUUUUCUUAAUUUUGCAGGUUUAAAAAACAGACUUAGAACCAGAGGCUUAGCACCAGCUCCAUUUCAUAGUCAGCAGGAGCUGCUCUGCCUUUCUUCCGGUCAAUAGCUCAACACAGAGGACAUUUUCUUAGCCCAGUUCAAUACCCAGACCUUCCUGAGCUGGUCUGACCCAAUCCCUCCCACUCCUGCAGCCUGGGAGAUAUUUGUUAAUUAGACUCUUCCAGUCAAACCUGCUGCAAGUCUCCCACUUUCCGUGGACUACUGCAGCACAGAUCAGAGCAGGAGCAGGUGCUCUUGGCAAUAUCUCCCUGCUGAGCAGAUGUCUUAUUUCGUUUAUCGCGUAGGCAAAAAAACAAACAAAAACAAAAACAACAACAAAAAAAAAACCACAAAAAAAAAAAACACCUUAAAAGAGAAAAUUUCUCUGUAAAGUAAUUAGUUGGAAAACAGCCCAUGUUUUUUCAGGUUUUAAAAAUAGAUAUAAUGUUCUCAGUUUGCCAGAAAUGAACCCCAAAUUUCUCCUUUUCGUUUCCAGAAUGAAGAGAGAAACAAACCUUUUCUGAUUAUAGAGAUGGACUUGGAAGAUCUGGCUCAGGGCUGGCAUUGGCUGAACACUUUGGGCCACGCUGAUCCUGCCCAGUGGCCACUUCAGUCCAUUUUCUCCCAUUCUUGAAAUUUAUGGUCAUUUUUGCCUUAUUCGUUUGAUAAGAAAUGGAUAUUUGGAAUUCAAACAAAACUUUCUGACUCGGAUAUUCCACAGCGAGGCAAUAUCAGCAUGCACUGACAUCUAUAUUAGCAGCAAGGUGAAGGACUCUGUUUUGGAAGAAAAUCAAAGAGAACAAACAAACAUAACCCCCCCAAGGAAACAAAACUCACUGCUUUUGAAGUUAAAGCAAACACUGCUGUUUGCCAGUGACACACAUGCUUGCUGACCAGCAAACAGCCAGGAGAGAUG